GAUGAACGCUAGCGGGAGGCCUAACACAUGCAAGCCGAGCGGUAUUGUUUCUUCGGAAAUGAGAGAGCGGCGUACGGGUGCGUAACACGUGUGCAACCUGCCUUUAUCUGGGGGAUAGCCUUUCGAAAGGAAGAUAAAUACUCCAUAAUAUAUUGAACGGCAUCGUUUAAUAUUGAAAGCUCCGGCGGAUAGAGAUGGGCACGCGCAAGAUUAGCUAGUUGGUGAGGUAACGGCUCACCAAGGCGAUGAUCUUUAGGGGGCCUGAGAGGGUGAUCCCCCACACUGGUACUGAGACACGGACCAGACUCCUACGGGAGGCAGCAGUGAGGAAUAUUGGUCAAUGGGUGCAAGCCUGAACCAGCCAUCCCGCGUGAAGGACGACUGCCCUAUGGGUUGUAAACUUCUUUUGUAUAGGGAUAAACCUACCCUCGAGAGGGUAGCUGAAGGUACUAUACGAAUAAGCACCGGCUAACUCCGUG
rnacentral:rRNA from 1 species